CCGGUGGGGACGCUGCAGCAGCAGGGGACACAGCAAGCCAUGGCGCUGGGAAUCUGUGUUUUUAAUUGAUUUGGUUGUAACGAUAGAUGAAACUUCUGAAGAGCACAGCGUCUGA